CCCUUAGAUGUCCUGGGCUGCACGCGCGCUACACUGGAAGUUACGGAUUGAGAUACUACCUUGUCCGAAAUGGUCCGGGUAAUCACCUAAAAGCUUGUCAUAAUUGGAAUGGAUUAUUGUAACUAGUAAUCCUGAACGAGGAAUUCCUAGUAAGUCCCAGUCAACAGCUGGUACUGAUUACGUCCCUGCCCUUUGUACACACCGCCCGUCGCUACUACUGAUUGGACGUUUAAGCAAGAUUUUUAAACACUGACAGUGUGUAGUUCACGCUAUACUACAGUGAGAAGAAGAAGAUCGAGCUUACUUGUCUAGAGGAAGUAAAAGUCGUAGCA
rnacentral:rRNA from 1 species